AACGAACGCUGGCGGCAUGCCUAACACAUGCAAGUCGAACGAAGUCUUCGGACUUAGUGGCGCACGGGUGCGUAACGCGUGGGAAUCUGCCCUUGGGUGCGGAAUAACUUCUCGAAAGGGAUGCUAAUACCGCAUAAUGUCGUAAGACCAAAGAUUUAUCGCCCAAGGAUGAGCCCGCGUAAGAUUAGCUAGUUGGUGGGGUAAAAGCCUACCAAGGCGACGAUCUUUAGCUGGUCUGAGAGGAUGAUCAGCCACACUGGGACUGAGACACGGCCCAGACUCCUACGGGAGGCAGCAGUGGGGAAUAUUGGACAAUGGGCGAAAGCCUGAUCCAGCAAUGCCGCGUGAGUGAUGAAGGCCCUAGGGUUGUAAAGCUCUUUUACCCGAGAUGAUAAUGACAGUAGUCGGGAGAAUAAGCUCCGGCUAACUCCGUGCCAGCAGCC
rnacentral:rRNA from 1 species